GAAACAUCAUAAGAAGGGUCAAUACUUUAUUUUAAAAUUAUGAUCAUUUGCUUCUUUGCAUCCCUGCAUGCUUUACAAAUUUUCCUACAAAUCAGCGUGAUCCUGAGGUUCAAGAAAGCUGUCCAGUGUUGUCCCCUAGUGUGGUCCACUGGCCGGGCUGCAGGAUGUCUCCAGAUGUGCUGGGGCCCCUUCUCUCUGCCUCCAUCCACGACCCCUCCUUUUCUGGAAUUUUCCCUCCCCCUUCUUUCUUGUCUGCUCCCCAUUCUCCUCCCCUCCUGCUCUCCCUCCUCAGCCCUACUUUCUUUUCUCCCCCUGCCCUGUUCCUCCUUAUAGAUCUUCCUCUCAUCUCCUCCCACUCUUUCUUCUUCCUUCUCUCCUCCCUUUCCCAGAUCUUCCUCCUCCGGGUCCCUCCUCCUCCCAUCUCUUCACUUCUCCUCCCUCUCCUCGUCCCCCUCCCUCCUCCUUCUAACUAGGCCUCCCCUUUCUUUUCCCUUCUCCUCCCUGACUCCCCCUCCCAUCUUCCCUUUUCACCCUCCUCCCCUCCUUCUUUGCCCUCCUCCCCAUACCCUCCCUCCCCUCCUCUCUCUCCCUCCUCCCUUUCCCCCCUCGCUCCCGCCCCGCCCUCUUCCUCGUUUCUCCCACCCGCACCCGCACCCGCACCGCACCCUUUUGGCGCGUUGCUGCUGGGACCUCCGGGAGGUGGAGGGGCGCUAUGGGGUCUCGGAUGGGCUCGGCUCCGCUCGGCUCCAGCGCAAGGCCUGACGGAGGCGGUGGUGCGCGGGCCUCUGGGUAGUGUAGUCCGCCCUUCCGCGCAGGCUCAGUGCGGCCGGGCGGGCCCCGCGGGCGCGGGUCAUUGUCCUGGCGGAGCUGCGCGGGUGAGUCCCGCUGCGGGCGGGGCGGGGAGGGGAGGGGCGAGGCGGGAGGAGAGGGGGCGGGGCCCCUGCGCGCUCCCCAGACCGGGACCGACCCUCGCCCGGGGAGGGCACCUGUGGGCCGAGGAACAAUGGAAGGAAGGAAAUGCCAGAAAGCUGAGAGGAAGAGGAGGAAAGAGGGAGCCACCGGCUUUGCAGAAGCACAGACCCUGGGCCGCACUGGGUUCAGCCGUCACCAGCCCCCCUGGACAAGUCACCUUACGGGGCCACUGUGACUUUGUGGGCUCCUUUAAAAUUUUUCUUGAAAAAUUACAGUUUGUGAUUCCACUGCCGUAAGGACAAAUAUAAUCUGGGUUGGAUUAGAUUCACCUUUUGUGAUAUCAGGGCCCCUGGGCUUGCUGUGCCUCUUGGGUGAAUUGGGUCUGGUUACGUCCCUGUCCAGCCAGACGAGCCAGUGUGGUUGACCUCUCAGUAUGGGGAUGGGAGCCAGAGACUGCCAGCACAGAAAGAAUACCUUUUUAAAAAUUAAAUUGUGUUUCAAAAACGAUGACCUUGAUACUGCAUCCAGGGAAACAAAAGAAUACAAAGGAAAAAAUGCACAACUCCUUCUCAUGCCCACUUGGUCCCCUCAAGGCGCCACCUGGUGUCUUUUUCUUUCACUCCCUGGUCUUGCCCCAGGGCUCAGAAAUGACACACGGGAGCACACCCACCCACAUGUGCUGCCUUUUUUUUUUUUUUUUAAUGUUUAUUUUUGAGAGAGAGAGACAGAGCAUGAGCAGAGGAGGGGCAGAGAGAGAGGGAGACACAGAAUCCAAAGCAGGCUCCAGGCUCCGAACUGUCAGCACAGAGCCUGACUUGGGGCUCGAACUCAUGGACCGCAAGAUCAUGACGUGAGCCAAAGUCAGACGUUUAACGGACUGAGCCACCCAGGCACCCCGAGAACAACUUUUUGAAAAGACAGUUGUCAAUAAUGAUGUCUGCUGUAAGAAGACGGUAGAAGGGCGGGGAGAGUGUUGCCACCUGAGCUCGGGGGUCUGGGGGUGGGGGACUUCUCCAAGCAGGUGACCGUGGGAAGGAGCUAGCCACGGGAUGAGCAUUUCUGAAGAGGGAGGCAGAUGGGAAGGCCGACGUGCCUGGGGCCAAGUGUUCGAGGUCUGGGCUGCGUGGGAAGACUGUGGAUGAUCUCUGAUGCUGUGGGAAACCAUUUGAAAGUUUUAAGCUGGAGGACGUUUUUCUUGAGGGCUUGCUGUAGGCCAGACUCCGUGCUGUGGAGUUUGCGGACGUGGGUCGUGGGUCGUAAGAGACCUGUGCCCACGCCUUUGUGAUCAGCGGUGGGGAUUCUGAGCCUCCACACCGUUGACAUUCGUCUCGUGCAGUGAUUGAACAGCAUCCUUGGUCUCCACCCACCAAAUGCUCAUGGCGUCACGUGCCCCCAAAUUGUGGCACCUACAAAUGUCUCCAGGUGUUGCCCAAUGUCUCCUGGGGGCCAAAAUCACCCCCGGGGGAGAACUGGUAUUCUAAAGGUUUCUGCCAGCCUGUCCUUAAGGUACGUGUCCUUCUGACCUGCAUAGGUAAAAUCACAAAUUUUUGCUUGUGAAAGUGGGGGGCCAUCUGGCCUCAAAAAGACCCUUCUUUGUGGUUCUUACACCUUAAGAAUUUCGUUUGGAAAUUACACACUUUAGUAAUUCCGUUUGGAAAUUAUGGUUCUGGAGCCCCAUCCCACGUGGUUUGAUGCAGAGUGUCUGGACAGGGGCCUAGGGAUGUGUGUUCUGAAUAAUAAUAAACAUCCCUAGUGAUUUCUGGCACUUGGAGAAAUGGCACGGUAGCUAACCAUCUGUGCCUCUUUCAGGUGAUCCUGAGGGAGGUCUAGGGAGGCAUAUUUUUGGCUUCUAGCAGAAGGAAAACAUGUUUCUAUUCAGAGGUAUUGGCAACAUAGGUAGUGAGCUCCCUAUCACGGGAGGCAUGCAAGUCCUGGCAGGUCACCAUGGAACCAAGAGUGAACCAACAUACCCUAAACUCCCAGGAAUUUGCCCUAACCUGUGCCACCUGUCCAAAGUAAAACUUUGUCUUUUAUUUAAAUUGGCUCACUGGUUUUUAAAUUUUAUUUAUUUAUUUUACUUAAAUCAGCUGCGUUUCAAAGGGCAUCCUGUGUGACUGCCGUAAACGGAAGCGGGGCAUUGCUGUAAAAAAGGAGACCCAUUGAAACAAAGCUGACGGCUUCCCACUGGACCCACAACAGUAAUAACCGCUGAUAUGUCUGGAGCUCUUACCGGUUCCUUCUGUGUGUGUGUCAGUUGAACCUCACAGUUACUCCACGAAAUGUGGGGAAGCUCCCCCAGGGGUGGGGAGUGGGGCCCCAGACCAGCACUCGGACACUCGCACACUCACGCUGGGUGAGUGGCUGUGGGUGGGUGUCCGGGUGUGCCUUUGAGAGGCAGCGAGCACGUGGGUGGACCUGGACGUUCCCUGCCCAGCUCCAUUCCUUGUGGAAUCUUGGGCACAUGGCUUAGCUCUCGGGCCUCAGUUUUCUCAUCUGUGAAAUGGGGUGGAAAUAGGACUCACCUUGAGGAGCGUUAGGAUUGAAGGAGAGACGUGUGUCUGGGCCCUUGCAUGCAGUAAGUGUGGUUAGCAUUUGUUACUGGUGCGUGUGUGUGUGUGUGUGUGUGUGUGUCCCUCCUUGUCUGCUUCCUGCUGGGUACGUGUCCUGUCUGCACUGUGAAGCAGGCCCAGGCCUGGUCUCUGGUCUCUCACUGUACCCUCACUCUCUCUCUCCCAACCACAGUCGGCCCGUUCCUGUCACCCUGGGCACUGGAGGGAUGGCCACCCAGCUGCUGACUGACGAGGCCCUGGUGAGUCAUGUGGCCCUCUCGCACUGCAUUCCAGAGGCUAAGGCCAG
rnacentral:lncRNA from 1 species